GUAAAGUUUUGUUUAAACCGAAAAAAUAUUGACUGACUUUAGAUUUUUCUUUGGAAUAUUUGUUUUUGGAGAGCCCUCUUUUUUGGUGAAUUUUAUUGGCACAUGUAUGAUUGUUUAGUUUUUAUGUUAUUUGUGUUGCUUUUUUGUUUUUUUGCAUUUAAAACAGAUAUAUAUUUGGCUUAUAAAUUUAUUUUUCAUGUAUUACUAUUAUUAAUUUUUUUUGGAUUUAUUUUUUAUUUUAUUUUUGAAAUUGGAAAAGAAAGUAA
rnacentral:rRNA from 1 species